rnacentral:rRNA from 1 species
AGAGUUUGAUCAUGGCUCAGAUUGAACGCUGGCGGCAUGCCUUACACAUGCAAGUCGAACGGCAGCACGGGAGCUUGCUCCUGGUGGCGAGUGGCGAACGGGUGAGUAAUAUAUCGGAACGUACCCUAGAGUGGGGGAUAACGCAGCGAAAGUUGCGCUAAUACCGCAUACGAUCUACGGAUGAAAGUGGGGGAUCGCAAGACCUCAUGCUCAUGGAGCGGCCGAUAUCUGAUUAGCUAGUUGGUAGGGUAAAAGCCUACCAAGGCUUCGAUCAGUAGCUGGUCUGAGAGGACGACCAGCCACACUGGAACUGAGACACGGUCCAGACUCCUACGGGAGGCAGCAGUGGGGAAUUUUGGACAAUGGGCGCAAGCCUGAUCCAGCAAUGCCGCGUGAGUGAAGAAGGCCUUCGGGUUGUAAAGCUCUUUUGUCAGGGAAGAAACGGUGGACUCUAAUACAGAUCACUAAUGACGGCACCUGAAGAAUAAGCACCGGCUAACUACGUGCCAGCAGCCGCGGUAAUACGUAGGGUGCAAGCGUUAAUCGGAAUUACUGGGCGUAAAGCGUGCGCAGGCGGUUUGGUAAGACAGAUGUGAAAUCCCCGGGCUCAACCUGGGAAUUGCAUUUGUGACUGCCCGGCUAGAGUGUGUCAGAGGGGGGUAGAAUUCCACGUGUAGCAGUGAAAUGCGUAGAGAUGUGGAGGAAUACCGAUGGCGAAGGCAGCCCCCUGGGAUAACACUGACGCUCAUGCACGAAAGCGUGGGGAGCAAACAGGAUUAGAUACCCUAGUAGUCC